CCCCUGUGGCAUUCAAAGUACCUUCUAACGAGUCCAAUAGGGGAUCCCAUGCCAGACAUGGGUCCCUGCUGACCCAGUGAUGCUCCACACAGAGUCCUCAAAGCAGAGACACCAACAUGCAGCAGGCCUGUAGAGCAGAAUGCUUAAAAGGGGAAUAAGAACCCAAUAACUCUGUGUCAGUGGGAACCUCAUUAAACCCCAGGAGGUCUCACUGAGCCCCAUCUCCCAUUGCCUGGAGAAAGAGAGCCUUCACGAGGAAGCAGACUGUGCACACGUGACGUGGAUCCAGCCUGCUGAUUAGCAACGCUUGGCAAGAGCACGCAAGCUGAGAUUUAUAAAGUCGCUCCCUGCAAGGCAGAUGAACAUCUUAAUCUCUUAGUCCACUUUUAAUAAAAACCUGACAUUAAAACAUGUUUGCACAUUGUUUUGCAUUUGCUGGCGAGCUGCGGUUUCAAUCUGCGGCUGCGGCUCCCUGCGGUCUCAGGGAUGAGCUGGCUCCUGGCUGCAAAAGCAUCUUCCCCUCUGCUGCAAUGUGAGUGCCAAAGGGCUGCAAGGGAAAAUGAAGCCAGAGGCAAGGGGCUGACAGGAACAAGAGCCCCACGCCUGGGGAUUUGCUGUGCAGUUUCACACCAGUCGCAUGUUGCAGCUGAACCUGCAAAAGAGGCAGUGAUGGAUAUGCAGAUGAGGGAGUGCCACCUCCACCUCCUGCAGCCUUUGUGCUCAUCCCAACCCAACAGGACUGGUUGAAAGCUGCCAUCUCCAACAAGCAGAGACAAAACCCUCAUCUGUGCUCUCUGUUGCCCAGACCCUACCAGGCUGACGUGGAAGCAUGAACCCGGCUGCUGCUUCCAGGGAGGGCAGAGCAAAGAGCAGAGGAGAGCCAAGCACAUCAUCCCCUUAUUCCACAGCUACCAUCCCUGUGCUACACAGUCCUGCAGGGAUCCUACUGCCCCAGGUCCAGCCGGAGCCUCAGCAAGAGCUUUUGCCUACUGCAAAUUUCCUCUCCCAACCCCUUGAACCCACCAGGACUGGCUUAGGAAGUCCUAAGGAAAAUGAGCAAAUAUGCAAAUACAGAACUACUCGGAUACUGACUUCAACUUGGAGGUAUGCAACAAAACCCUGCCUUUCUCCAGUGGCUGAUGACUGAUGUUGCAGUGUACUCUGCCCAUCUGCUAGGAUAUAAUCCUUACUGGAGAAAAAGAAGGGUCAGAAAAGAAUCCUGCACCAUUCAAACACAGCAUGGGGGUUUACAGGUGCCUGAUAUGUCCUGUGUUACUCUGCUGCUCACUCGUUUUAGGGUUCGGCUUUGUUCUUGAAAAAAUUCUGAUGGUAAAUGAAGUCAGCCUCAGGGAACAGCAGGAAGAUGUGUGUCUAUCUGUUGUCUCUCAGGCUGAGCAAUGACCCUCAGGGCAGCACCACCAGCACCCACACCCCCAGGCAGGUCUGUGCCCCAUUGCUCACCCAGCAGCAGCUUGGGUUGGGUCAGCAGCGGGGCAGGAGGGUGCUCGGGGUGACAGCAGUGACGCAGCCACACAAAAUGAGGUCUGUUUCCACUCCAGAGCCAAAGGGACUCUCGCCUCGCUGACAGUGUGAACACGCCACAGCAGCACAGGCACAUGCACUAUUCAAAGGGUUUUUCUUCUGGGCAAGAUUGAAUGAAGCCAGAAUUGCAGGCAGAAAAUAAAGCUUAACGUCAGAUUGAGCGUGCAGGGAAGAGAUCUCCAUCCUGGCACCUGGAUGGCAUCAGCACAAUGCCAUCCUGCGUUCCACCUGCAGGCAGGUGGAAGCAGAGCUGUUCUGAAACAUUCUGGGGUCACCUUCUGACUGUCAGUGAUCUGUUGUUCCCUUCCACCCAUCACCUACCCACCCUGACCAUCUGAAAUGGAGCCUCUUACAUAUCUACCAAGAGUGAACUCCCACUGCAUGGCUAGCUCCAGUUCUGAAGGACUAAUUGCUGUUGAGGCUGCUGGAAUUGAACUGUGAGUACUGAUAAAAAGGAAGAUAAAUUUGGAGGGAAGGGGAGCAAUGUUCCUAAUGGUUUCCUGGACAUCCUCAAGAGCACCGAACCCACAGCAGCCGUGCAGCCCGUGCAGCAGCUCACAGUUCAUGCACUCCUGCAGUGAUUUUUACCCUGUGUGAUCAGCCAGGAGAGAACAGAAAGUUCCCAGCCCUGGAGAAACAGCCCAAGGCAAUCCAGCUCGACUCAGAUGAAAACUCAGAGGGCACACCAGGAAGCAUUUCUGGCUUCAGAUGAAUUAGGAGCAAAUCACAAAAUGCUAAAACCACAUCAGGGGAUGUAAGCAACUUCAGUCCCAACUAAUUUGUGUUCAAAGGCAGCCCAGCCUUGGGGAUAGGUUUUGCAACAGCCACCGUGGGCAUUCCUGCCUCGGCAAUUCCAAAUCAGAUUUGCUUUAGACCCCUCCUGCAUUGGCACACCCCGCUGCCCAAACCCUGCGCUCCCGCUGGGAUCUGACAGCCAAGCGCUGAUCCCGCUGGCUUCCAUCAGCCACCUGCAAGGGGUAUCCUGCCAAGAGAAGGCAAGGCACUCUGCUGCCUGCAGCAGGCAGCGGGGGCUGCUCAGCGGGGCUGUGGGGACAUGGGGAGAGAAGCACCAGACCCGCUGACAUGGGUCCAGGGGAGCUGACAAAGUGACAAGGGUCUGUUUUUAUACUGUCAUCUUCUUGUCCUCAGAAGAAAAGUAUGCAGUCCCGAGGGCUUUUCAAGUGCUGGAUGAAUCCUUCUCUAACACCCAGCGCUGUUCAUACGUAGUGUGUAGGACAAAGAAAAUGUAAGAGGGAUGAGGUUGAAGCAUUACUCAGGGAGCCAACAAACAAGACAUUGCCCUGGUACACUGAUCAAGGCUAAUCCAGUCUCCUCCUCCCCCAUCUUUACAUCCCAGGGCCAUAGCUUCCUAAAAGAAGGGGAUGUACCAGGGGAGCACCUCACAGCCCUGUACAAACCCAUCCCAUUUGGGUUACAGACAGAGCACGGUGGUAGGGUCAGCCCUGUGGGCUGGCAGAGCUCUGCAGUCCAGUCCAUGGGGAGGAAGGGAGGGAUGGAGUCAGGAAGAGGUAAGACAUGCUGCCUUCUGUGAGUAAUAAAACAGGCAGAUUUUAGCAGCUGGAAAAGUCAAAUGGCUUUGCAGGAGAAUGAAGUUGAGGGAAGUCUGCCCACACUGGCCAGAUGCAAACUGGUAUCAUGGAAUCAUAGAAUUGCAAGGGUUGGAAGGGACCUCAAGAGACCAUCAAGAGGAGCCAUUGCCAUGCUGAGCCCUGACUUCAGCCCAGGCAGACAGAACUACUGAAUGCAAAAGAGUCAGAAAGAGGGGAAAAGGGGACUUAUUGGUGAUUGGAACCACAGGAUCACUACUCUGCUCACCCCAGUGGCUUUUUGCAGUUCGGAUUACCCAACCUCUGCCCAAGCCUUGGUGCUUGGGGACAUGGCUUACUGAGCAUGGGGGGGAUGGGCUGAUAGUUGGACUAGAUGAUCUUAGAGGUCUUUUCCAGCCUUAGCGAUUCUAUGUCCUACAGAUACUUGUGCUGUGUGCCCUGGGGCUGCGCUCUUACCCAAACCCCAGCUACCCCUGCUGGCAUCCCUGGGAAACGGCUUUGAGCAGGUCACCAAGAACAGGUGUUGUUUUACCCAAGCUGGAGUUCCUCCAACCUACGCAGAGGCUCUUCCCACCAAGAAGCCUCGUGAAGAGCUGCUGGAAAAUAAAUAAAUAAACCAAAGUUGGUGGCCCUUCUGUGCGUAAAGCUGUCGCAUCGACCGAAGAGAGGGGAAAGAGAGAAAUAAAGGUCGGCUGUCCCAGAGGGAUUACUGUGAUGCCACGCUUUCUCCCAGCAAUUCAAGCAUUGAUUUCCAAGAGCUUUGCCCUCUGUCUCAACCCCGCACAGCUCUCCCCUCCCCGUGCUGCUGGCUGUGACAAAGUCAGGGGCUGCGGUGACAGAAAGCAGUUGGUGAGGAAUCAGGCGGUCCGUCGGCGACGCACGUUGCUGCUUCUCACAAGUGCUGCUUGGAGAUCACGAAAUACAUCCACCAAGUGAAACACUUCAGAGAGCCUUCGCAAGCAAUUAAUGUCUGCGGGCUCCCAUCGGGGGGUGUGGGAUAUUAAAAGGAACGCGCUCUGUGCAAGCACAGGAACUCAGAUUGGUUCCUUGGUUCAGACUGGUUUGUAGAUAGCAGGAAAUGAGAGUUUUGCUCCUCGCUCGUGAAUCUGUUUGCUCUCAGUUUGCAGAAAAGGCCACGGACGGCUCCUGCAGAAGGGUUUACUCCAUUUCAAAAGUCAUCCCUUCACUUCCAUCUGCUGCUUCACACCCUCCUCUAUUCGCAGAGAGGUGACCUGCGGAGAGCUGCUGCCCCCACAGACAGGGGAGUCACGCCAGUGCAAACACCAAGCUGGAUAAUUAAAGCAUAUUUACAUCCUAAAGCUCACACUGCGCUGAGCAAACUCAUUUCAAGUCAGGGAUGGGUCAGACCAACAGUGACCUGCCUCCGUCAGACCUGCAGGGAGAAGGAAGGAGGUGCAGGGAGAUUUGCAGGAGGAGAAGGAAGCCCUUUUAUCCUAAUUACAGCACAGCCCAGUUGAGCUCGGCUACCACCUUUCCAACACCUUCCACCAAACCACUUAAUCACCAUAAAUGAGUUUCUGUAAUUACAGCAGGAAGUGAUUUAUCUUGGGGUCCAGAGGUUUAGAAGCAUGACCUGAAGAGAAAGCCGGUGUCAGCAAAGAGGAUAACUUACUUGCAGGGUGAUCUCUGAGCCACACAGCCAAGCUUGGAGUCUCUAAAUCCCUCCCUGAUCCAUCCCAGAGCCAGUAAACAUCAUGUUUGUGUGUGCUGAGCAUACCCCUCCAGGGAUCAUCUGCUGCGUGCUGUCUGGCACCAACAGGGAAGGGAAGGGAAAAGAGAAGGGAGAAGGGAGAAGAAAAGGGUGAAGGGAAGGAGAGGGAAGGGAAGGGAAGGGAAGGGAAGGGAAGGGAAGGGAAGGGAAGGGAAGGGAAGGGAAGGGAAGGGAAGGGAAGGGAAGGGAAGGGAAGGGAAGGGAAGGGAAGGGAAGGGAAGGGAAGGGAAGGGAAGGGAAGGGAAG
ensembl:lncRNA